rnacentral:rRNA from 1 species
CGCACAGUAAACGAUGACAACUGGCUGUCGGCGAUAUACCGAUCGGUAGCGAAGCGAAAGCGUUAAGUUGUCCACCUGGGGAGUACGACCGCAAGGUUGAAACUCAAAGGAAUUGACGGGGACCCGCACAAGCAGCGGAGCAUGUGGUUUAAUUCGAAGCAACGCGAAGAACCUUACCUGGACUUGACAUCCCCUGAAUGACUCGUAAUGGAGGAAGCCCUACGGGGCAGGGAGACAGGUGG